AAGCGCAACUCACGCCAAAAUGCAACCUCGUGCCCCUAGCUCUCCCAUUCAAGGGCCAUUUGACUGAAAACGAAAAUACGCUAAAUCUUAAAAGGGGCGCUUCCGUCCUAAAUUAGCUUUUAAACGAAAGUUUGAUUCGGGUACAU